GGGCUAUCUGGCUGCCACAUCUGUCACCCCAUUGAUCACCAGGGUUGAUUCGGCUGAUCUGGCUGGCGAGGCAGGUGUCCCCUUCCUCCCUCACUGUAGCUGAGCUCGGUCGAAGAGGAUGACCAUCCCUGUUAGAGGAGGACCGGUGUUCGGUCAAGGGUAUGCGAGUAGCUGUGCUCCUCUGCUAGAACCUCCAUACAAGUUCUCAAGGUCCAUUUAGGAAUUUUUUAAAAAAUAAUUUCUUUUGAAAUGAAAAUGAAGCCAGUUUUCAUU
rnacentral:snRNA from 1 species